UCAGAUUAUCCCUAACCCAUUAACCCAUUAAUACCCAAAACCCUUCACUCAAAAUUCUUUCUCCCAGAACCCAUGACCAACUCAAGUCAACCCUUUCCAAUUCCCCUUCGUUCAAAACCGUACCGGCAAAUUCAUCUCGUUUCUUUGUCAUUUGAUUUAUUAUAUUCUCAUUCCUUUUCUAUGUCCUUUCUUACUUUAUUUUCCUUACUUAUCUUCCUUAUCGAAUCCGUAAAGUAAUUGAUUUUUUACCUUAAUUAUGAGCCAAUAUAUUAGCUUCAAUUUUAGUCAAAAUCGCCGACGCGCCUGAAGAUUCACCUACUCUUCUUCCCAUUCACAGGUUCAGACUUAUCAGUUUGAAUGUAGACAGGUUUGAGGGUCUCAAACUCUAGUUUGGGCUGAGUUUUGGAUCUGGAAAGCUGGGAAGGUCCUAAUGAGGAGUCUUCCAGAGAGACAUGGAUUUCGUUUAGUCAUCUUUAGGCUCAUGUUAUAUUUUAUUCUUGUAGUUUUUAAGCUCUAUAUAAUAGUGAAUGGGGGUUGCUGGGAAAAGGAAAAAUCAUGUGCUACUCGUUCAUACGCCUCUUCUCUACUUAUGUUCUCAAUAUAUGCUUUAAUUAUUUUUUUUACUAUAAACACUAGUCUUGCCGGUAGGAGAUGAUAAAGAAGACCUGCUUGUUAUUUGCUUUUACAUGAAACUUCCAUAAUUGGCAUUUGAGUAGUACGUCGGUUUUUAAAAAAAAAAAAUAUUUCAUGUCUUAUUAUUGGUCUAUUUUUAGCUUUAAACUAAAGGCAGAACUUUCUUUUAUUAAAUCAUAUUUAUUAUCCUUUUAUUAGUUAUUUCAAUUUCCAAACACUUAAGGAGUUUUAUGUUUAAUCUCAUCAUUAGUUUUUGUUGGUUUUAUUACGUGAUAGGCUAUUGUCCAGUGGACUAAUAUUUCACUUUUAUUUAAAUUUUGUGAGUAUACUAUAUAUUCCGAUAACUAUUAUUUUUUACUCUAGUUGAUUCUUGGUAAAAUUUUCACUCAUUUGUUCUUAUUUCCUAUGCAUAUAGCUAUCUCAUCUAUUAAACUUGGUGUAUUGUAUAUCUGAAUAUUAAUUCAAGGAUCUUGCAUAUUUAAGAGACCACUUCAUCGCUUUAGUUAAUUUACUUAAUUCGAGGUCAACAUGAACCCUUACUUACCUUAUGUGUUACUUGUUAAGUCUUUAUGUGCUCCCUUUUAUGUGACGCUAAUAAGAAUAGAAAUAGAAACUUGAGAUUUUCUUUAAGUCUAGAACCAUCCCUCUAGAAUAGUGUCCGAAACUUCCUGAACUAUAGGAAGGGGCAGGUAGUUUUGAGUUAGACGCGAUUUAGAAUUAAUUAGUGCACUCUUAGGUUAACAAUUUAAAG